rnacentral:lncRNA from 1 species
GAUUAGACACCUAGACACUUAGUGAAGCUCACCUCUGGGUGUGUCUGGAGGGCAUUUCCAGAGACAUCAUGUGGGCUCUGAUCUCAUCAAUGAAGUGACCCUUGAUGGAUUCAUAAUAUGCUGGCAUUAUUAGCAGGUGGUGAUAGGGAGGAGGUGGCGCCUAGGUGGAAGAAGGUCACUAGAGGUAUCUCUAGCAUUAUACCUUGCCCUGGCCUCUUCCUGUAGGCCAGAUUCUCCAGUCUUAUAAUUCCACAAACUGCUGCUCUGUAGUGCCAUGAAGGACUGAACCCUCUCAAAAUGUGAGUCAACACAUCUUUCCUCACUGUGUUAGCUAUUCUGUCAUGGCUCUGACAAACAAUACACUCGUAGUCCCUAGGAUAUAAUGUUAAGUUUGUGCUUGCUUCCUUAGUACCUUUAUUUAAGUGCUGAGAACUUAUUAUGGCUGUAACAAAUUACUACAAAGUUAGAUGUAUAAAACAACUCAUUGAUUUGGAUUAGGGAGCUGUGGAGGUCAGAAAUCUAAAAUCCAGGCAUAUUUGAGUUCUUUCGGGGUAGAAGCCACUUCUCCCCUCUUUUCAGUCUUCCAGAGAUGCAUGCAUUCUUUGGCUCAUUGACUCUUCCACACAUCACUCAACUAUUUUGUGUCCCAGCUCCUACAACUAACUGGCUUGGAAGCUUUUGCCUCUCCCUUUUAUAGGGAUUUAUAGUGGCUGAUUACACAAUGAGCUCCUGGAUAAUGUAAAUUUAAUUGCAUCAGCUAAAUUCUUGUGCCAGAUAAAGUAACAUAUUCGUGUACUCUGGUGAUUAGAGGAUAGAGAUCAGGAGUGUACUGCCAUUCCUGACCCUUAGAUGUGUCAACAAGAAAUUAAGGCACUCAACCGUCUAUAGAGAUCAUUUUUUAUAUUGCUUAAAGUGGACCUUCACCAUCAGAAGGGCCAUCCUUUAUGGGUUACCUGCCCCGGUGCAUAUUAACUAUGCUUGAAUUUGAAAUUUUUUCCUCCUUUGACACGGGCCUCACGAUAUAGCCCUGGCUGGCCUGGAAGUCACUAUGUAGAACACAGGGAUUCCUCUCCCUCUACUCCCAAGUGCUGAGACCAAUGGCAUCCGCCACCAGGACUGGUUCGUGUAAACAGCGUUUUGCUGAAAUAAAAUCGAAC